GAUAUGAUGAUGACCAGACCUUGCUUUCGGGGGAAUUUCCUCUGGCCGUACAGUCAGAUAAGCUAUCAUUACUUGUUAUCAGGUAUGCAAGAUAUUGUAGAGUAGUUAUGCAGACUUUGGAGAUGUUUUAUAAGAGAGUCCAGGUUUCCUAGAGCUGUAAAUACAUGUGUCAUCGGUUAAUAGCUGUUGUGGCUGUGUGCACGGUUCCAGGUUUGGAAUGAGGGUUCUUGGGGCUGGAUGAAUGGAACGAAUCCCGCACUGGAACGAAUUGGCUUCACCCCAUAUACUGUAGUUUGUUCAAGUGAGGACACACUGUACAGGCAAUAUUAUAUCUAAAAAUAAAUUCUACUUUUCUA